rnacentral:misc_RNA from 1 species
AGUUUUCUCUCCUGACGCGCUCGGCCUCGCACGAAUCACUGCAUCAUCACCCUGCCCUUAGUAUCACGGUGCUUCCUAUCGCCUUCCAACUGCUCGUUCUUACCCUCUGAUUCUUGGCAUCUAGAGCUCUUUCGCCCAUUGGGCGUGUGCGCUUCCGAGCAUCGACGCUCUCACUUACUCGCUUCCCUCUUUUCGCGGUCUUGUCCUCUCACGGCGACAUCGUUGUUUCGCGUAAGGCAGGCCCCCUCUUUCGUACCUCUCUCUGCGUGUGCGUGCCACGCCUCUAUCGCUCAUGUAUCCAUGGCUUUCACCUGACUUUGUUGUCUUUCUAUUCUCUGCAGUGCUGUGGUACUUACCCCCGCUUCUCCUUUAGAGCUGCACACCGGUGCGCGAGCGAGCAGGAUGCCUCCACGCUCAUCGCACGCCGUGGUGACGCUGGCUGCAGCGCUGCUGCUGGCGAUGUUUGCCUGCAGCCACUCGGGCCACGCGCUAUGCCCCUCUAACGGGAACACCCACACAGUCUACGUCACGUCUAACAUGGGCGAUAACAUUUGGUCCUUUGACACUCUCGGCAACUACCUCGGCCCGGUGCUCAACAAAGCCUCUUUCCCACCCGGCGUGCGCGUCGACAAGCUCCGCUCCAUGCGCUUUGGCCCGCAGGGCCACCUCUACGUGUCCAGCGCUCGCGGCUCCUACAGCCGCGUCUUCGCCGUCAGCGGCAACGGCCUGCUGAACGGCACGAUGGAGGAAAACUGUACCCGCGACUACCUCUUCACCGUGAUUGAGCAGGACAAGGAGAACCCGUUUCUGGAUCACCCGUACGACAUCACCUUCCACCCAGCGACCGAGGACAUGUACGUGUCGAACCAAAACUCGGUGACCGUCACGCGGUACACGCGCUACCGGACCGCGGACGUGACGCCGAAGGCCGGCGCCGGCGGAUCUCAGCACGCCUUCUAUCCGGCCUGGAAGCCGGCCAAGAACGUCAAGGCCGCCGUUGAGGCCGACGAGGAGACGGUGUCGGCGGAGGAGACGGUGGUGGCGCCGAAGAACAUCCCAGACAGCUCCGGUCUCUUUGCCUCGUCGUGGAGCUCGUCCUACUCGAUGAGCUCCGUGCGUGGCCUCGCCAUCUCGCCGCUGCUGCCGCGCGCGCUGGUCGAGGGCGGCGCCCCCUCCGGCGUCUUCGCUGUGACAAACGAGUCGACGAUGUACUACCUGCUCGUGUGUGACGUGUCGAGCAACACCGUGCACGUUUUCGACCCCGAGAGCGGCGAGCGCCUCUUUGGCUUAAACGUGCCGUCCCCGAUUCAAGUGAUGUUUCCGAACCGCUACUACAUCAGUGACUCGUCGUCGCUAUCCGUCUCCGCUGCCGGCGUCCACACGCAGCGCUUCGACGUGCCGUACAUUUACGUCACGAGCAAGGAGGACGGCAUGGCGUACAUGGUGCGCUUCUCCUCCCGCCAGGGAAACACGAACAACAACGGCAUGCAGGGCGGCGCCUUUGGCGAGGACUUCAUCCGGGCACAUCGCCUCUAUACCAUCAACCACCCCACCCCACUGCACGCGGCGAGCGGCAUCUACGAGAAUUCCGCCCGUGAUGUGCUGCUCAUCGCCGAUCGCAACGGCCGCCGCAUCUACUCCUACGCGUCUCCAUUUCUGACCGACUACACAAGCGGCUACGGACCUUCUCCGUUCCUUGGCUUCUUUGUGAAGCAUCUGCCGGAUCAGCCGGAGUUCAUCAUGUCGACGCUGCUUGAGCACCAGGAAAACAUCCCGUUUUGCUAUGAGCUAAACAAGGACGGAAAGUUCCGCUACGUUGCGCUGUGCACAGCGGCGUCGAUCUGGUCCGUCGCGCUCGCGCUCGUUCUCAUCCUGGUGCCGUCUUUCAUUGCGUACCGCCAAAUCCAGAACUGCAUGUACGGGCAAAAGCAACAGCGACGCCAGCGCUAUCUGGAUGAAGAUGCGAGCGCCUUGUAUGGGAGCGGCAGUAGCUCGCCGCUACUUGGACGCCGGGCGCCCAACUACGGCUCUGCCUAGUGACUCCGGCCCUCGUGGCGAAAAACGGCAGAGAGAGGAGGAAAAGGGAAAGGGAAAGACGAGUCGUUGCGCAGUUCUCGCUCGCUGGCCGGCGACUCUUCGCCUCUCUCUCGCUCUCGCUCUCUAUCCCUCGCCAGCACAACCCCACCAAAAGAAGCGUUUCACUCUUUUCGAAUAUGGGGGAGAGAGAAGAAGAGAUGGCAGCGGCGCCGCGAGGAGGAACAUGUGGCAGCGAUGCCAUAAGGGAUUCGGGAAGGACUCGCGCGCGCCCCCCUGCAGGGGCUUGUGCAUCCCAUAUAUUGCCUGCCUUCUCCCUGUCUCUCUGCCAGUCCCGCGCUGGUCAUCGCGCAUCACUUUCUCUACUCGAGCAGCGCGUCUUUCUCUCCCUCCCCCUCUUCCUCCUUCUGCAUAUAAAAACACAGCGAGAGAGCAAAACAACAGAAAAGGGAGCGUGGGGGGGCCGAAACCAAGCGCGCACAUAUAAACGGCAUAACGUUUUGUGUGCGAAGGUCAGACGACGCUAAAGCAACGCGAGUACCAACGUCGUGUUGAAGCUCGAUGAGGGACGACUGCUGCUCGCGGCGCCAGUGGUGGCCUUCUUUCUCUAAUUGUGUGCGUUCAGUGUUAUCGGUGUCUGUUUGCCCGUGCGCGUGUGCGUGUUUCUGUCGGUGUUGAGCUGAACAGCCUUGUGGCCUUUGAUCGUUGCGCCCAUGGCUUCCACUAAUUCGUUGCCCUCGUGUGUAUGUGUGUGCGCCUUUACAACUUUCGUUACUCGCACACUUCUCCCCCUCUUUUCCUUCCGAUUCACCUGUUUUCGCACGUCUCCGUUGCAGAGGCGAGCGGGAAGGACGACAAGCGAACAACACAGCAAAAAGAAUCGAGUACUUGCACAUACAGGUGUGUGUGUGUGUGUGUGUGUGUGUGUGGCUGGUGGUGGUGGUUGGGGGGCGGCAAAGCAGGCCAGCGAAGGGCGGAACAGCACGCUUUUCUGCCCCUUUCCCUCUUGUGCCCUUACUGCACUCCACAUCGGCAUCUGUUCACGUGCGAUGCUGCGGGAACGCGCGGCAGGCAUGGGCAUCACCUCCCCUCCUCUCGUGUCUCUCUCUCCAGCUGGUGGCGACCGUCACUGCCGUUCCGUUUUGUCUUCUUCCUAUCUCCAGCCUCAGGACAGUCACUCCCGUUGCACGGACCAUGAACCCAUGGACGCUUCGCACUCGCUCUCCCUCCCUUCCUCGAUCUGCUUUGCUACUGCCUAUCGUUGUCGACCCGAUUUCUCUCAUUCUUUUUUUUUUCUCGGUUUCUGCCUCUUGGUGCGGUCGCACUCGUCGCGCUCUCGUCUUGUGCAACUGCGCGACAUCCCUCACUACUCUGCUUCCACGAAACCAUGCGUACGCGCGCAUCACUACCUUCGAGCAAGUGUGAGGAAG